UACGUAGGGGGCGAGCGUUGUCCGGAAUUACUGGGCGUUAAAAGGGCGAGUAGGCGGCUAUAUACAAGUACAGAUUGUCGAAAUACCAGGGCUCAACCCUGGUACUGCAUUUGAAACUGUGUAAGCUUGAGUUACAGGACGAGGAAAGGUGGAAUUCCCAGUGUAGCGGUGAAUGACGUAGAUAUUGGGAGGAACACCAGUGGCGAAGGCGACUUCUGGUCUGUAACUGACGCUGAGGCGCGAAA
rnacentral:rRNA from 1 species